rnacentral:rRNA from 1 species
GUGGGGAAUUUUGGACAAUGGGCGCGAGCCUGAUCCAGCAAUGCCGCGUGCAGGAAGAAGGCCUUCGGGUUGUAAACUGCUUUUGUACGGAACGAAACGGUUCUCUCUAAUACAGGGGGCUAAUGACGGUACCGUAAGAAUAAGCACCGGCUAACUACGUGCCAGCAGCCGCGGUAAUACGUAGGGUGCAAGCGUUAAUCGGAAUUACUGGGCGUAAAGCGCGCGUAGGUGGUUAAGUAAGCGAUCUGUGAAAGCCCCGGGCUCAACCUGGGAAUUGCAGGUCGAACUGCUUGGCUAGAGUAUGGUAGAGGGGUGUGGAAUUCCAGGUGUAGCGGUGAAAUGCGUAGAUAUCUGGAGGAACACCGAUGGCGAAGGCAAUCCCCUGGGCCUGCACUGACGCUCAUGCACGAAAGCGUGGGGAGCAAACAGGAUUAGAUACCCCGGUAGUCC